CCAGAGUACGCAAGCCUUUUGAGAAGGCAAAGUGAAAUAAAUUGCGGGUUGAAUGGCCACGCCGAACAGUCCCUGAUGACUCAUGUAAAACGUUAUCAGUCGAUCCUAAGAUCAUUCAAUUCCUGAGUAAGACAGGAUGGAAGCCAUCUAAAGGCUUAGAUUUUCAUUGCAAAACUGUCGGGAUAAAAUCCUAGGCAUCUUGAGCUCAGCAGCCAAGAUCUUUGAAGCAGUAGAGGAUGAUCUAGAAUUAGAUUGCGCCAUCUUAAGUGGUUAGAUCCAGAGAAUGAUUUAAGUUGGCAACGCCAACAAUGCGGUAGUCACAGAACGCCACAAAUCGAUCUUGCUCAAGA